GGAAUGGCGAAAUUGUAAGCUGCAAAUACCGGGAUAUAAACAAAAGAAAAAGAUUUUGGCAGGAAAGUGACACUGAAAGGAUAUUGUAUGGAUUGGAUGAUAUAACGGGAGCAAGUGAUAUAAUUAUUAUAAUUAUUUUAAU